UACGUAGGGUGCGAGCGUUGUCCGGAUUUAUUGGGCGUAAAGAGCUCGUAGGCGGUUUGUCGCGUCGGCCGUGAAAACCUGCAGCUCAACUGCAGGCUUGCGGUCGAUACGGGCAGGCUAGAGUUCGGUAGGGGAGACUGGAAUUCCUGGUGUAGCGGUGAAAUGCGCAGAUAUCAGGAGGAACACCGGUGGCGAAGGCGGGUCUCUGGGCCGAUACUGACGCUGAGGAGCGAAAGCGUGGGGAGCGAACAGG
rnacentral:rRNA from 1 species